CCUGUUGUGGGGGAUAACUAGUCGAAAGAUUAGCUAAUACCGCAUACGACCUGAGGGUGAAAGUGGGGGACCGCAAGGCCUCACGCAGCAGGAGCGGCCGAUGUCUGAUUAGCUAGUUGGUGGGGUAAAGGCCCACCAAGGCGACGAUCAGUAGCUGGUCUGAGAGGACGAUCAGCCACACUGGGACUGAGACACGGCCCAGACUCCUACGGGAGGCAGCAGUGGGGAAUUUUGGACAAUGGGGGCAACCCUGAUCCAGCAAUGCCGCGUGAGUGAAGAAGGCCUUCGGGUUGUAAAGCUCUUUUGUCAGGGAAGAAACGGUGAGGGCUAAUAUCCUUUGCUAAUGACGGUACCUGAA
rnacentral:rRNA from 1 species